CCUACGGGUGGCAGCAGUCGAGAAUCAUUCACAAUGGGGGAAACCCUGAUGGUGCGACGCCGCGUGGGGGAAUGAAGGUCUUCGGAUUGUAAACCCCUGUCAUGUGGGAGCAAAUUAAAAAGAUAGUACCACAAGAGGAAGAGACGGCUAACUCUGUGCCAGCAGCCGCGGUAAUACAGAGGUCUCAAGCGUUGUUCGGAAUCACUGGGCGUAAAGCGUGCGUAGGCUGUUUCGUAAGUCGUGUGUGAAAGGCGCGGGCUCAACCCGCGGACGGCACAUGAUACUGCGGGACUAGAGUAAUGGAGGGGGAACCGGAAUUCUCGGUGUAGCAGUGAAAUGCGUAGAUAUCGAGAGGAACACUCGUGGCGAAGGCGGGUUCCUGGACAUUAACUGACGCUGAGGCACGAAGGCCAGGGGAGCGAAAAGGAUUAGAUACCCCAGUAGUC
rnacentral:rRNA from 1 species